CUCUAGGAAAUGGCUGGUUCACAGUGAGUUAUCACUGACAUGGAAUGAAUUCCAUAAAUGGAAUUCAGUCAAGUUCCAUCUCUAAACACCAGGUCUGAGGAGACUUCUUAAAUGUAAGUCAUUUGGGUAUUAUUAAUAUAUACAUUAGUGAAGAUUUUUCUGCAUUCAAACA
rnacentral:lncRNA from 1 species